AGAAAGGCGAGCGCAACAUCUCUGAUGGUCUUUUUAAUUCUUUUGGCUAUCCUAUUUUGUUUAUUUGUUGCUGUGUGUACCUUACUUAACUAGAUGAUUUUGGUCUUGAUCUUGUGAUGGAGCUGAUUGCUGUAACUAUACCCCAUGUUCCAAUUUUGGCUAGUAAGAUGGUUGUAAUCAUUUCACCUGUUUCACCCUUAUUUUCAAUGUUAAUCUAUAUUGGGUUCUGCACUUCUUUUCUUAGAAAGUUCACUGUAUCACCCUUAUUAUCUGUGUUAAUCUAUAUUUGGUUCUGCACUUCUUUUCUUAGAAAGUUCUACUGUAUCACCCUUGUUUACAUUGCUUUCAUCAUUAGCUGAUGCACACUAUUUCUUUCUGUCAGAUGGAACCUGCCCUUGUGGAUGAAAAACUAAUUCCUUGGGAGUUAAACAAGUUUAAGUUGAAUCCAUUACGUAAUGGUGGUGUCAUUGCUUAUUAUCAAAUCAAUAAGCCUUCAGAUCUCACUGCAACUGCUCAGUUAGCACCAAAGGAUAGGCCUCUAGUCUGUCUGCAUCUGAAAGAGUCAGAAAAUUUGCCUAAGAUAUCAAUUAUGAAUCUGAGGCAUCGGAAUAUUUUAUGAGUUGACGCUGUACAAAAAUUGGAACUGCCGUUCUCGAACCAGAAAAACAUUGCUGUUGUUGUGGAGCCUCAUGAUGGACCUCUCACUUGGUUUUUAGUCAGAUUGCUUCUGACCGAGAAGGGCAGUAAUGCCGUCCCAUCACAGUCUCUUAGAGAUGUUAUAAGACAAAUUGUGGAGGCUAUUGAAGAGCUCAGAAUAAAUGGAGUCUAUCAUGGCAAUCUUACAAUACAUAAUAUAUACCAUUCAAGAGUUGGUGGUGCUAUUGUAGUGAAGUUGGUUAAUUUUCAAAACAGAGAUAUCGAAUUGGAGGCUGCACAGUUAAUGGACUGGGUUGGGCUUGGUAAUAUUCUUCAUACUAUUUCAACUGCAGCAAAGUUCAGGGAUAAUACUGCCUCGUGCUCCAUAAUUGACCAUCUGGCAUCAAAAUUGAUGGCAUUAACAAGCAUUAACUGUCUUCCGAGUAUAAAAAAGGGUACACUAGAUGAUAUGUUACAAGGGUGAAGAACCACGCGUGGCCACUACCAUGGGACAGUAAGCAUUUUGGACUCGUAAAGGCCAUGAACGACUACCGUGAAGAAGUUGCGGUAAGAGAUAAACACAAGGGAGUUAAUCCAGGUCCAGAAGUUCUGAAACAGUAUCAUUACAAUGGACAAGAUCCAAUUCACAAUGUACAGUGUAUGAGCGGAGCUUACACUCACCAGGACAAAAUAGAGAAGGACAUUAAAGAUGAUAAAGACAAGCGAAUGUCGGUGGAUGUGGCUGUCCAGAAGGAGCAGCCAGAGUUGUGUCUUGCCCUACGUAGGUUGCUCGCAGGGGAAGCCUUCUAGAAGAAGGCAAUGAAGAAUGUUUUCACCUUUGUGGUGUGAAAGCGAGGUCGGUUAUGCUUAUGCUUCUUGUGGCAAUAAUUUCAAUACCUAGGAACAAUUUUCUGCAAGGCUGAAUAUUAACACGAUUUUGAUAUAAUGUGUUGUACACCUAUCUCAUUCGUGUUCUGUUUUUUGACAUAAUGUGCUGUAGAGUACACCUGUCUCGCCUUCUAACUGCAAGGCCAGGUUGGGGAUGUGGGUUUGGUGCCUUCUGUAGUAUUUGAUAUUGCUUCUUGUGAUGGCAUCUCCUUUUUUAUGGUUUUUUUUGCUUGUGUGGUAC